rnacentral:tRNA from 1 species
GAGGGCAUAGUGUCAGAGGUAGCACAUCGGGUUCAUAUUCCGGGAGGAGAGGUUCGAAUCCCCUUGCCUAUA